GAUGAACGCUGGCGGCGUGCCUAACACAUGCAAGUCGAACGGAAAGGCCCUGCUCUUGUGCGGUGCUCGAGUGCCGAACGCGUGAGUAACACGUGAGUAAUCUGCCCUUGACUUUGGGAUAACUUCAGGAAACUGGGGCUAAUACAGGAUAGGAGCUCCUGCUCCAUGGUGGGCGAUGGAAAGUUACGGCUGUUGGGGAUGGACUCGCGGCUUAUGAGCUUGAUGGUGGGGUAGUGGCUUACGAAGCGUGUGACGGAUAGCCGGCCUGAGAGGGUGACCGGGGACAUUAGUACUAAGAGAGGGCGCAGUCGGGUACGGGAGGCAACAGUCGGGAGUAUUGCACAACGGGGGGACGUGUGUUGUGGAGGCGCCGCGUGCGGAAUGACGGCUUUCGGGUUGAGAACCGCUGUGGCCUGAGACGAAGCGGUAGUGACGGUAAUGAAUAAAGAAGCACCGGCUAACUACGUG
rnacentral:rRNA from 1 species